AUUUUUGUGAAGCAUUUGUUUUGGAAAAUAUUACCCCAGUGCAGAAAGGGAAGCGUCUAAAGAACACCACCUGUCAGUUUAGCAGCAGCCUCCAACCCAAAUCUGCAGCUGAGACAUCAGGAUUGUACAGUAUCAGGCCCUCAAUGCAACUGAAAUGCGCUAUAAGUGGAACCAGAGCGAUACCAUGCCUCUCAGACGAUGUGGUCCACACUGGAAGUGUUCCCAGGAUGAGUUCUGGAUCCACACACACCACAACCCUGACCAGGAUAAAGUGCUGCAUCUAAGAUGAAUGAAUGGCUAAACUGAAAGAAUAGAAGAGCAGAUUCUAAAAAAUACUUAAGUAAAUAAGGCGUCUCGGGCAUCAAGGCAGGAUACACCCUGGAUAGAGUGCCAACCCAUCGCAGGGCACACACACACUCUCUCACUCACUCACACACUAGGGACAAUUUUCCAGAGAUGCCAAUGAACCUACCAUGCAUGUCUUUGGACCGGGGGAGGAAACCGGAGUACCCGGAGGAAAUAUAUUCAGAAUAUAUAUGCAUCUUUCUAGCACCAUCUCUCUCUCUCUCGCUCUUUCUCUCUCCAUCAUCUCUAUCAUUUCUACACACACUUUUUUUUAAAAACACUGUCAUCAAUACAAUACAACCAAGAGAGAGACACAGAGAGCAAGAGAGAGAGAGAGAGACUCAUGAAUCAUGGAGGAGGGAGUAGAAUUGGUGAGAUGGUCAAAUUGAGAGUUUGAAGACUGUGGUGUCUGCUUGAUUUUAUGCUGGUUGAAAUGUCAGAAACUAAGCAAAAAAUGGCAAGUACAUUUGAAAAGGUAGAGAGAGAGAGGAGAUAUGGAUGUGGAUUCAGUGAGUGUAUUAAACUGAGAGUAAUCUAGUAAAAGGUAGAAAAGGAAAAAAGUAGAUAGACAAAGAGAAAAUAGUGUGUUACUGACAAAUGAACAGAUGUGUUGAACAGUAAAGAGCUGCAGGAGAAAGCGUAGUAGAAAUAAAGUAAAAGGUCAAAGAGAAUUAAAAUUGAAUUGGAAAAGAUAAAUGAUGGACAGAAGGUUAGAGUGUAAAAGUAUGACAAAGGAAGAGAGCUUCAUAAAUUGGGAUGUGUAUGGUAUAUGUUUGUGUCUGAUUGAAUAACAUUUAAAAUGUGCUUGAAACCUACAGUACUACAAAAUCUCAAGUGAACCACUAAAAACUGAGUUUAUUAGAUAAACCUGCCUUUAUCUUCAUAGACUGGCCUUUAAAUCAUGUAACCCACCACACAAGACACUUUAAUUGUCCACUAUUUGUAGGAACAAUUGCUGACCGGAACGUUUCUACUACAUUCAUCAACAGAGGGAGCAUCAUAGGAGCACCACUGAAGUAAUCUCAACCUGAAACACUUCACCCCUGAGCCACAGAGCACAUCAUGUGUUUCAUACGCUUUCUAUUCAGCAUCUUGAAGGUUGCUUUCUGAGGCAUAGUCCAAAUUAAGACAUUUAGAAAUACAUCUUUUCUGACUCAUUUCAUCACUGAAAACAUGCUUUUUUUUGUUGUUGUUGUUUGUUUGUUUUAAUGCUUUCACCAAAGUGGAUAAAUUUGUGGUUAAAUUCUGACCUUUUCUUUUCUAUAAGGAUCUGAACACUAAAGUAGGGACUUACCUGCUUAACAAGUGUGGCAUUUGCAGGAAGCCUGGACAAGAUAAGCAAAUAAAUAAAAUCAUUCUUACAGUAGGUUAUUCUGUUGAAACAUGUCUAGUAAAAGUGCGAUGUCUAUGUGGGCAGUAUAUUAUGGGCAGAAAAAAAACAUUGCAGAUGAUAAUGUUUCAGGUUUUUUCCCAUUUGGUGGGAUAUUACUGUACAGACCUUUUGCAUUUUAAAAUGCAAUUUUCACAUUGUCAUGUGAAUGAGGAAAUAUAUUGCCUUGUUAUCAUUAACAUAUGAUUUUUACAUGACAGACCAUACAGCAGGGUUUGUGUGUGUGUGUGUAUGUGUGUGUGUGUGUUAGCUAUGAAGUAAGCAUUAAGUAAUGUUGGGCCAAAAAAGUAAUUUCUCUUCAUUUCAAAUAAACAUAGUGUCAAAUUUAAAUAAAAAGCUCAUAGGUUAGACAACUCGGUGCUCUCACAGAAUGCUGUUUUCUAUCACAUGUGGAUGGGAAAUUUUUUGACUGAAUUUGAUUUUGUUUAAUAUCCUUUUAUGUUUUACUUGUUGGUCUUUAACUGGAGAGCCUGGGAGAGGAAUUGAGUACAUGGAUGAAGAUGAAGGCCGUAUGACUCUUACAGUUUAUGUACCACUCCUCCACAUGAAUCUUUUCUGCUUUACUGACCACAAUGAAGAAAAACACACACACACACACACACACACAGAGAGAGAGAGAGAGAUCCUAGAAAGUAAAUCCUAUUAACAUUGUCUGUAGAAUGUGGUUUUUCUCAUGUGAUUUACUAGUACAAAUAUCAUCUUUUUUCCUCUCCAUUCUUUUGUUUUUUUGCUCUGCUUUCUUUUUAAAAAUGUUUAACUUUUGUUGAACAGCAGAAAAAAAAAACACACUUUAUUCCUACACAAAUGAGAUGUCUGUGGACAAGCAUGCAGGGAUGUGGUGUCAGUGACAGACAUUGACCUUGAUGUUAAAACAUGUGACCCGGUUCUUUCCUGAUUCACUUAACUCACUAUAAUGCUGUAAUUUCUUCAAAA